GGCGGACGGGUGAGUAACGCGUAAAGAACUUGCCCUUUAGACUGGGAUAACAGAGGGAAACUUCUGAUAAUACUGGAUAAGUUAGUAUAUCGCAUGAUAUGCAAAUGAAAGCUACGGCACUAAAGGAGAGCUUUGCGUCCUAUUAGCUAGUUGGUAAGGUAAGAGCUUACCAAGGCGAUGAUAGGUAGCCGGCCUGAGAGGGUGGACGGCCACAAGGGGACUGAGACACGGCCCUUACUCCUACGGGAGGCAGUAGUC
rnacentral:rRNA from 1 species